UACGGAGGGGGCUAGCGUUGUUCGGAAUUACUGGGCGUAAAGCGCACGUAGGCGGCUUUGUAAGUUAGAGGUGAAAGCCCAGGGCUCAACCCUGGAAUUGCCUUUAAGACUGCAUCGCUUGAACAUCGGAGAGGUAAGUGGAAUUCCGAGUGUAGAGGUGAAAUUCGUAGAUAUUCGGAAGAACACCAGUGGCGAAGGCGACUUACUGGACGAUUGUUGACGCUGAGGUGCGAAAGCGUGGGGGAGCAAACAGG
rnacentral:rRNA from 1 species